UACGUAGGGGGCAAGCGUUGUCCGGAUUUAUUGGGCGUAAAGAGCGUGUAGGCGGCCAAGCAGGUCAGCUGUGAAAACUCGAGGCUCAACCUCGAGACGUCGGUUGAAACCGUUUGGCUAGAGUCCGGAAGAGGAGAGUGGAAAUUCCCGGUGUAGCGGUGAAAUGCGCAGAUAUCGGGAAGGAACACCGGUGGCGAAGGCGGUCUCUGGCCGUUACCUGACACUGAGGAGCGAAAGCGUGGGAAGC
rnacentral:rRNA from 1 species